rnacentral:miRNA from 15 species
CAUUCAACCUUUGGACGGUAGA